rnacentral:lncRNA from 10 species
UCAGGUGUAUAUAUAAAAUGAAAAGCAAAAUGUAAGUCUAAGACACAGAAAAUUUUGGAAAGCUAACUUUGAUUUCAAAUUCAACUUCCUAAAUAUGAUUUGGGAUUUCCUUAGUGGGUGAAUAAGGGCAGGCAAUUAAGGUCCAUUCUCUUACUUUUCAAGAGCUUCAGUUCUGGUAGUGGGGUGCCUCGGAGGCAGAUAGCAAAAGUGUAUGCAUUAAAACAAGUUUUGUGUAAAGGAUUUGUUAGACAAAAAACCAAAUAUUUGUGGGUGAGUUCUUAAUACUAAAUAAAGAUAGUUGUAUAUUGUUUUAAACAAAUUUAGAUUUGCCUUUUAGAUAUAAUCACAUGCAUUACUAUAAAUUAUUUUUUCCUUUUAAUAUAGUCAGGAAAAAUCCACAGCAUUUAGCAACAGCAUACCUUUGGAUAAAACUGCUUAUAGUUAUAUGUUUCGUUUCAGCAUCAGUGAGAAAAUAUACAUUAUUAUGCCACCGUUUAAAAUGCUGGUGCUCCUUUAUUUUAUAUAGUGUUUUAUUGCUUCAUAUGUGGAAUAUUAAAAUCACCUUAACAGCUAGCCGGAUGAGAUAAUCACACUCCACGCUACAGCUCCCUGACUACAGCUAAAAACUCUGCAUAAAAUACGGCAGGUUUGAAGGUCUCUGCAAGGGCUCUGAAAAGUGGAUAAGAAUAAGAGGACUUACACGAAAGCCAGAAAUAGAGGGGAGACUGAGCAGUACAUUUCCUGGGGUUUUAAUUUAUAUUUUGUAUAUACCAACAGGCUCCAGAUCAGUCUAAGCUGCAGAGCUUUGAAUAGGAACACACCAAAAAAGCUCCAGAAAAAUUCACUUCCUCUGGCCAGAAGAUGGGAGUGGGGUAGGGGUGGGGAGGCUACAGAAAAGCCUUUAGACUCUUGGCCAUCUCCAUCCAAGUGUCAGCAAAGAACUAGCAGCCCUCCCCUCCCUCUCAUGGGGGUGGCGUUGGGGAUGGCAGCCUCAGUGGGGUGAAGUUUUUGUUAUCUUUUACUCUUGCCCCCCUCAGCUAGAAAGACAAUCUCAGACCCUGAGGGGUGAAGCCCAUGGUAACUGUCAGUCCAGAAUCCUCUACCUAGCAAAAUUAAAUCUCUCAGAAAUAGAGCAAACUGGGAAAAUUAUCAAGUGAAAACUAAACAAAUUCAUCACUAGUAGGUCUACUUAAAGGAAAUACUAAAGGAAGUUCUUUGAGUGGAAGGGAAAUGGUUAAAAGGGGGAACCAGCUGGCUGUGGUGGCUCAUGCCUGUAAUCCCAGCACUUUGGGAGGCAGAGGCAGACUGAGCACUUGAGGUCAGGGGUUUGAGACCAGCCUGGCCAACAUGGCAAAAUCCUGUCUCUAUCAAAAAUACAAGAAGUUAGCCAGGCCUGGUGGUGCACACCUGUAAUCCCAGCUACUUGAGAGUCUUAGGCAGGAGAAUUGCUUUAACCAGGGGGACAGAGGUUGCUGUGAACCAAGAUCACACCACUGUACUCCAGCCUGGAAGACAGA